rnacentral:rRNA from 1 species
GACGAACGCUGGCGGCGUGCUUAACACAUGCAAGUCGAACGGAAAGGCCCUGCUUUUGUGGGGUGCUCGAGUGGCGAACGGGUGAGUAACACGUGAGUAACCUUCCCUUGACUUUGGGAUAACUUCAGGAAACUGGGGCUAAUACCGGAUAGGAGCUCCUGCUGCAUGGUGGGGGUUGGAAAGUUUCGGCGGUUGGGGAUGGACUCGCGGCUUAUCAGCUUGUUGGUGGGGUAGUGGCUUACCAAGGCUUUGACGGGUAGCCGGCCUGAGAGGGUGACCGGCCACAUUGGGACUGAGAUACGGCCCAGACUCCUACGGGAGGCAGCAGGGGGGAAUAUUGCACAAUGGGCGGAAGCCUGAUGCAGCAACGCCGCGUGCGGGAUGAAGGCCUUCGGGUUGUAAACCGCUUUCGCCUGUGACGAAGCGUGAGUGACGGUAAUGGGUAAAGAAGCACCGGCUAACUACGUG